GAUGAACGCUGGCGGCGUGCCUAACACAUGCCAGUCGAACGAAGCACCUUACCUGAUUCUUCGGAUGAAAGUUUGGUGACUGAGUGGCGGACGGGUGAGUAACGCGUGGGUAACCUGCCCUGUACAGGGGGAUAACAGCUGGAAACGGCUGCUAAUACCGCAUAGGCGCACGAGGAGACAUCUCCUUGUGUGAAAAACUCCGGUGGUACAGGAUGGGCCCGCGUCUGAUUAGCUGGUUGGCAGGGUAACGGACUACCAAGGCAACGAUCAGUAGCCGGUCUGAGAGGAUGAACGGCCACAUUGGAACUGAGACACGGUCCAAACUCCUACGGGAGGCAGCAGUGGGGAAUAUUGCACAAUGGGGGAAACCCUGAUGCAGCAACGCCGCGUGAGUGAAGAAGUAUUUCGGUAUGUAAAGCUCUAUCAGCAGGGAAGAUAAUGACGGUACCUGACGAAGAAGCUCCGGCUAAAUACGUG
rnacentral:rRNA from 1 species